GGAGAGAUGGCUGAGUGGUUGAUAGCCCC
rnacentral:ncRNA from 2 species